GGGCAUCUCUCCUUCCCCUCGUCAGCUUCAGGGCAUCUCUCAUUCUGAAGAUGAAGUCUCCUUCCCCUCGUCAGUCUCAGGGCAUCUCUCCUUCCCCUUGUCAGGCUCAGGACACCUCUCUUUUCCCCUCAUCAGCCUCAGGGCAUCUCUCCUUCCCCUCGUCAGCCUCAGCGCAUCUCUCCUUCGGAAGAUAAAGUCUCCUGCCCCUCGUCAGCCUCAGGGAAUCUCUCCUUCCCCUCGUCAGCCUCAGGGCAUCUCUCCUUCCCCUCGUCAGCCUCAGGGCAUCUCUCCUUCUGCAGAUGAAGUCUCCUUCCCCACGUCAGCCUCAGGGCAUCUCUCCUUCCCCUCGUCAGCCUCAGGGCAUCUCUCCUUCUGAAGAUGAAGUCUCCUUCCACUCGUCAGUCUCAGGGCAUCUCUCCUUCUGAAGAUGAAGUCUCCUUCCCCUCGUCAGCCUCAGGGCAUCUCUCCUUCCCCUCGUCAGCCUCAGGGCAUCUCGCCUUCUGAAGAUGAAGUCUCCUUCCCCUCGUCAGCCUCAGGGCAUAUCUCCUUCCCCUCUUCAGCCUCAGGGCAUCUCUCCUUCUGAAGAUGAAGUCUCCUUCCCCUCGUCAGCCUCAGGGCAUCUCUCCUUCUGAAGAUGAAGUCUCCUUCCCCUCGUCGGCCUCAGGGCAUCUCUCCUUCUGAAGAUGAAGUCUCCUUCCCCUCGUCAGCCUCAGGGUAUCUCUCCUUCCCCUGGUCAGCCUCAGGACAUCUCUCCUUCCCCUCGUCAGCCUCAGGGCAUUUCUCCUUCUGAAGAUGAAGUCUACUGCCCCUCGUCAGCCUCAGGGGAUCUCUCCUUCCCCUCGUCAACCUCAGGGCAUCUCUCCUUCCCCUCGUCAGCCUCAGGGCAUCUCUCCAUCCCCUCAUCAGCCUCAGGGCAUCUCUCCUCCUGAAGAUGAAGUCUCCUUCCCCUCGGCAGCCUCAGGGCAUCUCUCCUUCUGAAGAUGAAGUCUCCUUCCCCUUGUCAGCCUCAGGGCAUCUCUCCUUCUGAAGAUGAAGUCUCCUGCCCCUCGUCAGCCUCAGGGAUCUCUCCUUCCCCUCGCCAGCCUCAGGGCAUCUCUCCUUCCCCUCGUCAGCCUCAGGGCAUCUCUCCUUCUGAAGAUGAAGUCUCCUUCCCCUCGUCAGCCUCAGGGCAUCUCUCCUUCUGAAGAUGAAGUCUCCUUCCCCUCGUCAGCCUCAGGGCAUCUCUCCUUCCCCUUGUCAGCCUCAG
rnacentral:lncRNA from 1 species